UACUUUAAACUGGUUUGGGAAAACCAAAUAUAUUAUAUAUUUUGCUUUGUUCAAAAUAGGGUUUUCUAAUAAAUUAUGUUUUUAUCAGAUAUGACAGAAUCUUUUUUAAAAUCUCUUCAAUAUGCUUUUAUUGCUUUUGAGAGGUUUUGUUACUUUGAGUAAAAUUAAGUGUUCAUAACAGACGGGUAGUCAUGAUUGAGUUCAUUGUGU
rnacentral:rRNA from 1 species